GUUAAAGUAGUGAAUACUGAAGCCACAGUGAAAGCGAGCCUGAAUAGGGCGUUUGUCACUAGUUAUAGACCCGAACCCGGAUGAUCUAACCAUGGUCAGGUUGAAGCUUAGGUAAUACUAAGUGGAGGACCGAACCGACUGAUGUUGAAAAAUCAGCGGAUGAAUUGUGGUUAGGGGUGAAAUGCCAAUCGAAUUCGGAGCUAGCUGGUUCUCCCCGAAAUGCGUUUUGGCGCAGCGGUAAAUGUUAUAAUCUAGGGGUAAAGCACUGUUACGUAUGCGGGCUGGUAAUUCGGUACCAAAUCGUUGCAAACUAAGAAUACUAGAUGUACAGUUUACCAGUAAGACUGUGGGGGAUAAGCUCCAUUGUCAAGAGGGAAACAGCCCAGAGCACCAGUUAAGGCCCUUAAAUAAUUACUAAGUGGUAAAGGAGGUGGGAGUGCAUAGACAAUCAGGAGGUUUGCUUAGAAGCAGCAAUCCUUUAAAGAGUGCGUAAUAGCUCACUGAUCGAGUAAACCUGCGCCGAAAAUGUAUGGGACUAAGUAAUUUGCCGAAACUGUGCGAUAUAUAUUUAUAUAUCGGUAGGGGAGCGUUCUGUUGUAGGUCGAAGUAUUAGCGUAAGCGGAUAUGGACGAAGCAGAAGUGAGAAUGUCGGCUUGAGUAACGAAAAUAUAGGUGAGAAUCCUAUACCCCGAAAACCCAAGGUUUCCUCCGGAAGGCUCGUCCGCGGAGGGUAAGUCAGGACCUAAGGCGAGGCUGAAAAGCGUAGUCGAUGGACAACGGGUUAAUAUUCCCGUACCAUUUUUUAUUGAUAUCGAGGGACGGAGAAGGCUAAGCUAGCCGGAUAUUGGUUUUACCGGUUUAAACGUUCGAGAUGUUGAGAAGCGGAGAAAACGCUUUGAGUUGAGACGUGAAUACGAGACGCUAAGGCGUCGAAGUAGUGUAUGUCAUACUUCCAAGAAAAGCUUGCACUGUCAUAAAUAAAAAAUGCCUGUACCAUAACCGACACAGGUGGGUAGGUAGAGUAUACUAAGGGGCGCGAGAUAACUCUCUCUAAGGAACUCGGCAAAAUAACUCCGUAACUUCGGGAGAAGGAGUGCCUUAUUUAUAAGGUUGCAAUAACAAGAUCCAAGCAACUGUUUAUCAAAAACACAGGUCUCCGCUAAGUCGUAAGACGAUGUAUGGGGGCUGACGCCUGCCCAGUGCCAGAAGGUUAAAGAAGUUGGUUAGCAAUUGCGAAGCUGAUAACUGAAGCCCUGGUGAACGGCGGCCGUAACUAUAACGGUCCUAAGGUAGCGAAAUUCCUUGUCGGGUAAGUUCCGACCCGCACGAAAG
rnacentral:rRNA from 1 species